rnacentral:rRNA from 1 species
UAAAUGCGGAAGAGAUAAGUGCUGAAAGCAUCUAAGCACGAAACUUGCCCCGAGAUGAGUUCUCCCUGACCCUUUAAGGGUCCUGAAGGAACGUUGAAGACGACGACGUUGAUAGGCCGGGUGUGUAAGCGCAGCGAUGCGUUGAGCUAACCGGUACUAAUGAACCGUGAGGCUUAACCUU